rnacentral:lncRNA from 1 species
GAAAAGAAAAGGAAAAAAAAAAAAAAAGAAAAAGCCCACAAGAACUUUUCAAAGAGAGAAAUACUUUCAUUUCUUCAGAACAAGACAGCCAUUUUAGGAUUUUCCAGUACUUUGUUUUCCUUUCUUCCCUCCCUCCCUCCCUCCUUCCUCCCUCCCUCCUUCCUUCCCUUCCUUCCUUCCUCCCUUCCUCCCUCCCUCUCUCCCUCCUUCCCUCCCUUCCUCUCUCCCCCCUUCCCUCCUUCCUUCCCUCUUUUUCUUCUUCCCUCCCUUUCUCUUCCUUUUGCUUUCUCUCUUCCUUAUUUCCUUUCUUUCCUUCUUUUUUAGAAGAAACAGAAGCACCUAGAAGUAUUCAAGCCCCUAGAGGAUAUAAAAGACCAUAAAUAGUAGCAUGUGAUAUUUCCUUGGGUGGAGAAUAAUUCUAACACAACACAUUCCUUUUGCAAGUUAGGGUAUGCCCCUGCUGCAGCACCAGGGUAGGUCCUGGGGUGGUUAAUCCAGGCCAAUAUCCCACUUCCAUGGCAGUGCUUCUCCUCUGGCCCCCACAUCUGGUGUCUGGACCACCCCAGGCAUGCUGUGGUGUGAGCUGCAGACAGAAGAUGCUCUGAACAUUCCCACGUUUCUUCUGGAGCUGCCUGGAAUGGACUACAGCUCCUCAUGAGAUGCCCACAGUUGAAACAGUCUGAAUCAGUUAGACAUGGGAGUAUCAACUGAAAAUUUGUAUUUUCAAAAGAAUUGGAAUGGAGACCACUAUGAAGACAGAGAGUGUAUGGGAACUGUUGAAUCACGGCCCGAACCUCUGAUUGAUCAGCCAAGGCGAGCACUGAGUCAGCCGCAGGAGCACAGGUGAAGGCAAUUCACCUGUGUGACUGGAAGGGAUGGAGCCUGGCUGCACCUCUCCCAGACUCCAUUUAAGGGCUGACUGCCACUGAGGAAGGAUCGCUUUCUGGAGAUUGCUCCUCUUGGAGUUUUUAUUUGUGAGCCUAUGACACAGGUACAUCUUUCACCAUCAGGUGCAAUCUAUUUGGGCUCCAACUCUGCCACGCAAAGGCAGCAGACAUACAGUCAGAAAAUUUGAAAAACUGAAUAAAACAAAUCUCCCCUUGCUGGUCCAGUCAAGCCUUAACUGAGACAUCAUUGUUGCAAACCUGGUGUUGACUCGUGAAGCCUGUGGAGAAACCAUUAAAUAGAUGUCAGACUGCUGGAACAUGUCUCUUCAGUGUCCUACCACAGAUCUGAAAGCGCACUGCCAAGAAGCUGCCUUGGGCUGGUGCAGAGGCUGUCUGAAGCCAGCCAAGGGAUGCUGCUGAGGUAGGGACCAACUUCCUGGUCCUUUGCUUUACUCUCUCCUCGCCUGGCUCUCUUUAUACAGACUCACCUUCACCCCUUCACAAUGGCAUAUAUUUGUGAACUGUUUCAAUGCUUUGUAUUUGGAAACGGUUUUAGGAAUGGGAAAAGCAAGAGAGCUGUGCUGGAAAAACACAGAGACCCCUGCUCUGUCUGAAUUAUUUAUAGAUUAAAAUACUUUUCUGAGGUUUGGAGAUUUUUUUUUUCCUUGAGCAAGUUCAAGAGAAAGCAGACUGUGUCCAAAGGAGUUGGAACAAAAUAUAGUUUCAUGGGAAAAUCCUGUGGAUUUUCUCUUCAGAUGUGCUGAUCUAUAGAUUGAUGCGCUCAAGGCAUAACACAAGCAUUAUGAAAACACAGCCCCAGCACUGCAGAACUGGCAAAGCUUCCUCUGUUAUUGUUGACUUGGAGCUAACAACUUGGAAAUUAUUGAUGUAAAUGCUUUAUUAUCGAUUGCACAAUUAAGGCAUGAGUGGAGAAAGGAACCUGCAGCCAGCUAUGGUGUUCGGCUUCAUGUUUUAUGACUCAGAAGCACAUUAUUUAUCUCUGUGUUGCUGCUGGAUGAAACUGAAGAGUGUUUUUAGACAUCAUUUCCCAAAGAUUUUGUCCCUUAACAAGUAAAAUGCUUCGGAUGAAUAUCCAGUCUUAAGCCAGUAGCGCUAUUACAUGGGGACUGCACUUAUGCUUUCAUCUUCUGAAUGUUUAUUCAUAAUGCUGUAGUUAACUAAAUACCUCUUUCUCCAUGAGCCUAAGAAGUCUGCGUCGUUGAUAAACAAGUUCUUUUGCUGAGCCUUUGAAAGCUCCUCCAUGUAAUUAAUGUUCAGGUAAAAAUGUAAGAGAUAAAGAAGAAUUUUUCCAGACACUUCAGGGUUCAGAGAUGAUAACACUAAGACUGUUCUUCCAUCCAUGAUAAUUUUUGUGGGCUACACUCUGACCAGUAUAUAGCUUAAGUUGUGUGAAAACAAACAGGUGUUAUUUAAAAGAUGUAGUAAGGUUUCUACAAAGCUGGAGGAGUAUCUGUUUCUCUUUCUACAUCUCCUGUAGUGUGAGUGGAAUUGCAAAUUUGUAGAGGAGACUAUGGUCAAAAUUUGGGCACAAAUCCAAGAAAUCCUUUGUGUCAACUGGUACAGGCGGUUUUUAGUUAUGUAAACAAAUAGACACUUUGGAAUCAAUUUGUAUAGUGAAUGACAUUGCAAAACUAAGGUGCUUCUCAAAUAUACGUAGUGAGUUGAUUCUGAUGACAGCAAGACUACAGUCUUCCUUGAUGCAAGGGAAAACAAUACAGAGAACAUUUGGGAAAGAAUGGAAGGUAGAUUCAAUGAUAAUUGUUUUCUACUAAAAUAAGAUAUGGAAGUGAAUGUAAAUUUUUUUUCUGUGCCAAAUUUUAUUGCCAAUGCUAAAUAAGCUGGAACUGUGAAAACUAAAACCUCUUUCAAAGAUAACUCAAUUAAUUUGUAGUACUUACUGUUGCUGAUUGUAGCAGCAGUUUCACUUUGGACCUAACACUGAUUUACUGUGGUGGCUGCAUUUGUUCAGCUGAGAUAAAGCAGAAGAGACAUUGUUUGUAAUAACUUCGUCCAUUAAACUCAUAGCCUGUACUGUGUACCACAGAUGAGCGUCCAAUAGUCUACAUAGUUCGGAUUACUAAACGAUUCAGACACCAGUCUGGGCUUUGUCCCAUAAUCAAUAAUCAUCCAUCCUUCAUUUUUAUUGCUAUCUAAGCAUAACUACUAAAUAGAUCUGGUGAGAGAUGUUUACCACUGCCACCACUAAAAUAUGUCCAACAUCCUGCCCAUGAUACAGCAACACUCUUUUUUUCUUUCAAAACAUUUUCAAAGAGAUUUGCUAUAUUGAUGAAGUAGAUUUGCCUUUAAAAGCCAGAAAACUAUGUUGGGAAACCUCAUGCAGCUAGUUUAGAGAACAUCUUUUUACUUAGUUAUUUUCUGAUUGCAUAUACGUUGCAGCCAAAAAGCUGAACUGUAGAUCUGAAUACGUACAGGCUUUGUAGGUUAUGAUCUGAAUUCAAGUUUGGAUCAGAAUGUGAAUUUUGCAAAUCUUUUUUUGUUUCUGUAUGAAAAAACUCUGAAGCCAAGAAUACUCAUAUUUUAAACACUACAAAUUACAUGGGAUAAGCCCAUUACUAAGCAAAACCAGAAUUUACAAUCUAUUACAUGGAGAACUGAAGAUUCUCUUAUUAUUGGCAUUGUAGGUAUUAAUUUGGGUUAAUUAUUCUAUCAUUAUUACAUUUGUUUUAAAUUAUUAGCUCUUACUUUCUGUUUUUCAUUUGUUUGCUUACCUGUGCUGAUUCAAAUUAUGUGAUUGUUCAUGUAGAUUGCAUGGAAUUGUCUUCAUAUAGUCUCAUACUUUUAAAACAGGAAAAUUACAAGCAAAACACUUUUGGCUCUGACUUUUCUGAUGCACAGUCAUUUGAAUUAAAAUUGCAAAACUUUAAGGGUUCUGUGGAUGCUUAUAAAUCACUUUGCACUUUUGAAUACUUGUAGUAAAUAAUAUGAUCCUGUGGUUCUAUGAUUAGCCUUAUUUAAAUUUAAAUUAAAAAAUCUUUUCUAGACAUACUACUCAUUCAUGAAAAAUCAGAAAGAGAUUUGGUAGUGUUAUUUAUUUGUAGUUAGUGGCCAAUAAUAGGAAA